rnacentral:ncRNA from 3 species
CAGCGGGGAAAGAAGACCCUGU